rnacentral:lncRNA from 1 species
CAGAGAUCACAGAGAAAAUGUUUGAGUGAGAGAGACGAAGGAGAAAGGGUUCAGAGGAAUGAAGGAGGUGAGUAAGGGUUUGUUUUUUUUUUUUUUUAGUUUUGAGAAUGAAAAUUAUUAAAAUAAGGUAAGUGUUUUUUUUUUCAAUUGAGGUUAGAAUAGGAAUGACAGAGAAAAGGUUGGAGUGAAAGAGAUGAAAGAGAAAGAGUUGAGAGAAACGAAAGAGGUGAGUAAGGGUAUGGGGGUUUCUUUUUUUAUUUUUUUUUUUAAUUUUGAGAAUGAAAAUUAUUAAAAUAUCCUUAACCUUAAAACUUAGAAUUCAUGAUAUAAGGGUAUUUUUGUCUAUUGAAACUUGGUACACAUUGCCAAAAUGUACCAACUGAAAAACAGGUGUAUGCAAGUUAGCAAAC